UUUCUUACCACAAUAAAUACUACGAGACAUUGUCCGACGACUGAUUCGAAUCUCUCUCUCUAACCUCGGUAUAUGCUUCCGGAAUCUCGUCUUAUCCUCCUCCUCCUCUCUCUCUCUCUGUCCUCCUCUCUCUCUCUUCUCUUCUUCUUCGUCUUCUUCUUCGUCUUUCUUUCUUUCUUUCUUUCUUUCUUUUUCACUUCAAUUUUCAUACCUCUCUCUCUCUCCUCUUCUAUUCUCUCUCUAACCGAUGGCGCGCGCAACUCCAAUAUUUCACAACAACAAUGUUCUCUUCACCUUUCAUUCCAAAACCUCUCACUCUCUUUCCAACUCUCACAAGUCUUCUCUCUUCCACUCCACAAAACCUCUCAACUCUCUCUUUUUCCCUCCAUUUUCAACAUCUCCGUCACUAUCGUCGUCGUCAACACGCGUGUCCACCGUCCCCGUCGAGUACGCCCCACCAGCACCAGACUUCGAUUUCCACAAAGAAAUCGCUCGCCUCCGAGCUCUCCGAUCCAAUCUUUCCAAUUCCAAAAAUUUGAAAGAGAAAAUCCGAGUGAUUGAUGGUGAUUCCAGAGUGAAUGGGUUUUUUCAUAGACAUAGAAAUGGAUUUUCUAGGGUUUUAAAGUCUUUGAAUUUGGAUGAACAUGAGUUUUUUUUGCUUAAAUGCGUGAUUGCUGUGGGGCAAGAACACGUUCUUGAUUCGUUUCCGGUUUCGGACGAGUUUGAGUCGGCGAACAGCUCGUUGAAGAGUGCGCUUUAUGCUUUGGCUGAAAUCAUUGAAAAGUGGGAUGCGAGUGGUGGUGAGAGUUGCGGAAAGAACGUUGAUUUGAGGUUUGAUAAUGAAGAAAUUGGGGCAUUGAGAACAUUGCUCAAGACUCUUCGAGAGAUGGAACAGUUUUAUGACUGUGUUGGAGGAAUCAUUGGAUAUCAAAUAGUGGCACUAGAGCUUCUUGCUCAAUCAACAUAUAAUGGACCGGCGAUAAAUUGGUCCCAGCACAUAAAUGAAUCAAGGGAAAGCCAAUUUUUAGAAAUUCAUCCUCCUAGUGUACUUGAUCUUUCUAAAGAUACAGAAUAUGCUUCUCAAGCAGCUUUAUGGGGAAUCGAGAGCUUGCCAGAUUUAGGCGAGAUUUAUCCUCUUGGAGGCUCUGCAGACAGGCUUGGUUUGGUCGACCCUGAUACAGGUGAAUGUCUUCCUGCUGCAAUGCUUCCUUAUUGUGGACGGACUUUAUUGGAAGGUCUUAUAAGAGAUCUUCAGGCUCGAGAGUUUUUGCAUUUCAAGAUAUUUGGGAAACAAUGCAUCACUCCUGUUGCAAUUAUGACAAGUUCGGCAAAGAACAACCAUGAACACAUCACAUCACUUUGUGAAAGGCACAAAUGGUUCAGAAGAGGCCGAUCAAGUUUCCAACUUUUUGAGCAGCCUCUUGUUCCGGUUGUGAGUGCAGAAGAUGGCCAAUGGCUGGUCACCAGACAAUUCACACCUGUACGCAAGCCUGGUGGCCAUGGAGUGAUUUGGAAACUUGCACAUGAUAAAGGCAUUUUCCAAUGGUUUUAUGAUCAUGGAAGAAAAGGUGCAACUGUUCGACAAGUCAGUAAUGUUGUGGCUGCUGCAGAUUUGACUCUCCUGGCACUGGCUGGAAUUGGUUUGCGCCAUGGAAAGAAACUGGGAUUUGCAUCAUGUAAGCGUAACUCGGGGGCUACAGAAGGAAUAAAUGUUCUAAUGGAGAAAAAGAAUCCUGAUGGGAAGUGGGCAUAUGGUUUUUCAUGCAUUGAAUACACCGAGUUUGACAAGUUUGGAGUCAUUGAUGGACCUCUUUCUCCUAAUAGUUUGCAGGCAGAGUUCCCUGCCAAUACAAACAUUCUAUAUGUGGAUUUACCUUCUGCAGAGCUUGUUGGAUCAAGUAAUGAUGAAACCAGUUUACCAGGCAUGGUGCUUAACAUAAAAAAGCCAAUUACAUAUGUGGACCAAUUUGGAAUCCAGCAUUGUGUCUCUGGUGGUCGGCUGGAAUGCACAAUGCAAAAUAUUGCUGAUAAUUUUUUCAGUACGUAUGCAUCUCGAUAUUAUAAAGGUCUAGAAGAUAUGCUGGAUACCUUUAUUGUGUAUAAUGAACGAAGGAAGGUUACAUCAUCUGCUAAAAAGAAAAGAAGACAUGCUGACAAGUCUUUACACCAGACUCCGGAUGGCGCACUGUUGGAUACUAUGCGCAAUGCCUAUGAUAUUCUUUCCCAUUGUGAUAUAAAAAUUCCCGAGAUUGAAGGAAACGACACGUAUGUUGAUUCUGGACCCCCAUUUCUCAUCCUUCUUCAUCCUGCUCUUGGACCACUUUGGGAAGUAACUAGACAAAAAUUUCGUGGAGGUUCCAUUUCUGAAGGUUCUGAAUUACAAUUAGAAGUGGCAGAAUUGUUGUGGAGGGAUGUUCAGCUUGAUGGGAGUUUGAUCAUUGUAGCUGAAAACUCCAUGGGCUCAACCAGGGUUGAUGAAAAUGGUGAACCCAUAUUACAGUAUGGGCACAGGUGUGGAAGAUGUAAGUUACAGAAUGUCAAAGUUGUGAAUGAAGGAAUUGACUGGACUUCGGGAAAAAAUUUAUAUUGGAAGCAUGAGGUGCAACGGUUUGAGGCAUUAAAGGUCAUACUUCUUGGAAAUGCUGAAUUUGAAGCAACAGAUGUUAUCCUUCAGGGUAAUCAUGUCUUUGAAGUCCCAAAUGGCCACAAGAUGAAGAUUACAUCCGGAAAUUCAGGUUUAGUCAUCCAGUUAAACCCUAUUGAAAAGAAAUUGAUGGACAGUGGAAGCUGGCUCUGGAACUACAAAAUAAAGGGCACACACAUUCAACUGGAACUGGUGGAGUAGUAAAAGAGAAAUGAGAUCCCUAAUUUCACAUUUAUAUGAUCGUGGUUCUCAAAUGGGUUCGGAGCUCAAGUUCAGCCUGGUCUAUUUUUGCUUUGGUUAAACGGAAGUUGAACCUCUUUGACCAUCUGAUCUUUUUUGUAAAUUAUGUUCAAUGAGAGAGCCUAGUAAGACCGAAUUGGUAUCGUCGGCGCUUUGUAACUUUACUGUAAAUCCUGUAAACAGUGUCAAAGCUAAAGUAAUGAAAGAAAUAUAUUUAAAUUUUCCUUUAAAUUGCAGUACUUCGUGUAGAUGAUGCGUUUAUUUGCUUUUCAUUACAAUCGCAAAAGAGUACCUCAGAAAACUUACAGUUGCAAGAUUUAUUGCUUAUUGGUUGUCAUUUUGUUGUUUUUUUUGUACCAAGUCAUUUGUUAGUGUGGCUGGAUUUAACACUAUUCCACUUUCAGGGUGAAAUUCAUGCAGUCCAGAGAUCACUUGUUAUGUUAAAUUGGAACAUGGAUGUUGCUGGAAUUAUUUCCUGGAUCAUCAUUCCGUUUUAGAAGAGUCCAGGUAUAUUUGCUGCUAUUUAUUAUUUCUUGUUUGUUUGUUUGCUUGGGAUCGUGAAUAGGCUGCACUGACAUUUGGAGUCUAUAGCUGUUGAGAAGAAUAUACCACAUUUUGCUCAUCAUCAUUCCGUCAUUGCCUUGUUGGCUUUCUUGCAAAUACUGUUGGUGGAAGCAUAUACCACAUUUUGCUCUUGUUGGCUUUCUGGCAAAUACUGUUAGCGGAAGGAUAUACCGAGGUUUGAAGCGCAAUUGGGUGUCUAGAAAAUUUCUUAAUCAGUCUGAUCAAGCUGCUUAAAAAAGGAGAUUGUUUUGCUGAGUUACAAGAAACCCUGUCAAACCAAGAUGGAAGGCAUGGAAAUCCAAGUGCAGUGUCGAUUGAACACGGAACAAAAAAAUUGAGAGGCCUGCAUCUGUGGAGUAAUCUAAGCAGAGUAUCAUCCUUUCUUUGAGCUUUCAGGGACCUAUUAGCAGCCAGCUUUGGAGAGAGGAAGAACUACAUGGAUUUAUCAACCAUCGUCUCUCAACCUCCUCUCCAUCUUUGUACAGCCCCUACAGCAAUCUGAAUCACACGAGGUCCACCCAAAAGUAGAGCAGACACUGCUAUGGUUACUGCUUAUCAUUUUAUAACAGGCCCAUGAGCAAAGGAACCCCCUACAGCAACACUUCCAUAUUUAACAGUAUAAACCACAGGCUGAAAAUGCAGAGGUGAACUCUUUUCCUAGUUCAGUGUCUUCCACCAGUAGCCCUGCCUAGGCCAAAAUGACUAUGGGAAGGACACCAAUGAUCGCCUUGUAGUUAUCUAUCAUAGACAUGCUGAAGAUUGUUAUAUUGUCAAUUGUGCUGGCGGCCAAUGUCAGAUUCUUCUUGUUGAAUAUGAAAAGGUUACGUAGGGAAGUGGACUGCAUUUUUCGUGGAUUCUUGGGUCAGGAACAAAGUAAGGUCACCACAAAUGAGAUAGCGCCUGGCUUGGCAAUUAUCCUGCAGUUAUCCGCACCAUUCUUCGUGGGUAAUCAAAGCUCCCAUGCCGCCUGCUUUUGGUAUCUGGCAACAUGAUUUGAAGUGUCCCCAGUUGAAACACUGGUGCCAUUUUGCUGGCAUCCAUGGCAGCUUUUAUAGCAGAAAUAUAUGAUCAUAUGCAUUCUCGCACAACUCUCUAUUGCUACUGCUUCUCUAAGUCCACUGAUGAUGGUGAUGCAGACUCCACGAUUGAUUUGCUGUUCUUCUGGUACCAUCGGUGGAUGAAACUCUUGCAUCCAUAGUUUGCUAUGAGGAUGGUGUGAAUUAGCGAAUGAAUUUAGAUCAUAACUGUGCCAUGAUGGUAACUCCCUAGUCAAGUUGAGAGAAAUCUGGCAGCGAAAUUCAUGUCGGAUGUUGAAAACCAUUGAUUGAGAAGAUGAAGAUUGAUGAUGUUUCCUACCAACGUCCUAGGCUUCUUCAACAAUCAAAUUUCUUCAUCAUAAUCAAAAUGGCUUUUCGAACAAAUGCAGCUUAAAGUCUAUGUGAGGUUGCCAAAAUGGAUGAAGCCCUUAUUUUUGCUGUUCUCAUUGCUAGUAGCAAUCUCUGGCUCUUUUUUCCAUUGUAGUACCAAAACUUCACUUUUCUAACAACAGAGUGUAACUUAAACAUCAAAAUUCAAUGGAUUGAUGUUAUUAUAUAGUCUA